rnacentral:rRNA from 1 species
UACGUAGGGGGCAAGCGUUGUCCGGAUUUAUUGGGCGUAAAGAGCGUGUAGGCGGCCUUACAGGUCAGCUGUGAAAACUCGAGGCUCAACCUCGAGACGUCGGUUGAAACCGUAUGGCUAGAGUCCGGAAGAGGAGAGUGGAAUUCCCGGUGUAGCGGUGAAAUGCGCAGAUAUCGGGAAGAACACCCGUGGCGAAGGCGGCUCUCUGGGACGGUACUGACGCUGAGACGCGAAAGCGUGGGUAGCAAACAGG